UACGUAUGUGGCAAGCGUUGUCCGGAAUUAUUGGGCGUAACGCGCGCGCAGGCGGUCCUUUAAGUCUGAUGUGAAAGCCCACGGCUCAACCGUGGAGGGUCAUUGGAAACUGGGGGACUUGAGUGCAGAAGAGGAGAGUGGAAUUCCACGUGUAGCGGUGAAAUGCGUAGAGAUGUGGAGGAACACCAGUGGCGAAGGCGACUCUCUGGUCUGUAACUGACGCUGAGGCGCGAAAGCAUGGGGAGCAAACAGG
rnacentral:rRNA from 1 species